GACGAACGCUGGCGGCGUGCUUAACACAUGCAAGUCGAACGGAAAGGCCUGCUUUCCCUUGUGGAUUGCGGGUACUCGAGUGGCGAACGGGUGAGUAACACGUGAGUGAUCUGCCCCCAACUUGGGUAUAAGCCUGGGAAACUGGGUCUAAUUCCCGAUAGGACUGCAGGGUUGUGCCUGUGGUGGAAAACGAUUUUCUAGUGGUUGGGGAUGAGCUCGCGGCCUAUCAGCUUGUUGGUGGGGUAAUGGCCUACCAAGGCGGCGACGGGUCGCCGGCCUGGGAGGGUGGACGGGCAAAUUGGGACUGAGAUACGGCCCAGACUCCUACGGGAGGCAGCAGUGGGGAAUAUUGCACAAUGGGCGGAAGCCUGAUGCAGCGACGCCGCGUGGGGGAUGACGGCCUUCGGGUUGUAAACUCCUUUCGACCGCGAGGAAGCCACCUGGUUGGAAGGGUGGUGACGGUAGUGGUAGAAGAAGCACCGGCUAACUACGUG
rnacentral:rRNA from 1 species